GACGAACGCUGGCGGCGUGCUUAACACAUGCAAGUCGAACGGAAAGGCCCUGCUUUUGUGGGGUGCUCGAGUGGCGAACGGGUGAGUAACACGUGAGUAACCUGCCCUUGACUUUGGGAUAACUUCAGGAAACUGGGGCUAAUACCGGAUAGGAGCUCCUGCUGCAUGGUGGGGGUUGGAAAGUUUCGGCGGUUGGGGAUGGACUCGCGGCUUAUCAGCUUGUUGGUGGGGUAGUGGCUUACCAAGGCUUUGACGGGUAGCCGGCCUGAGAGGGUGACCGGCCACAUUGGGACUGAGAUACGGCACAGACUCCAACGGGAGGCAGCAGUGGGGAAUAUUGCACAAUGGGCGGAAGCCUGAUGCAGCAACGCCGCGUGCGGGAUGACGGCCUUCGGGUUGUAAACCGCUUUCGCCUGUGACGAAGCGUGAGUGACGGUAAUGGGUAAAGAAGCACCGGCUAACUACGUG
rnacentral:rRNA from 1 species